UUCUAUUUGACGUAGUGGUUUGAGUGUUGGACUACCACUCUGGUGACCAGGGUUCGAUUCCCAGCUCGGCCA